AUUGAACGCUGGCGGCAUGCUUUACACAUGCAAGUCGAACGGCAGCGCGGGCUUCGGCCUGGCGGCGAGGGGCGAACGGGUGUGUAAUGCCUCGGAACGUGCCCAGUAGUGGGGUAUAUCCCGGCGAGAGCCGGAUUUAUCCCGCAUACUCCCUGGGGGUGAGAGGGGGGGACCGAGAGGCCUCGCGCUUUGGGAGCGGCCGAUGUCGGAUUAGCUAGUUGGUGGGGUAAAGGCUUACCAAGGCGACGAUCCGUAGCUGGUCUGAGAAGACGACCAGCCACACUGGGACUGAGACACGGCCCAGACUCCUACGGGAGGCAGCAGUGGGGAAUUUUGGACAAUGGGGGCAACCCUGAUCCAGCAAUGCCGCGUGCAGGAAGAAGGCCUUCGGGUUGUAAACUGCUUUUGUUCGGGAAGAAAUCCUCUUGGCUAAUACCCCGGGGGGAUGACGGUACCGGAAGAAUAAGCACCGGCUAACUACGUG
rnacentral:rRNA from 1 species